GCCUCUGACUUAAUGCUGGAACUAUCCACGUCACGUGCGGCCCCGCGCGGGUUAACCCCUCGGAGUCCAGGAACCCCCUGAUUCACCCCAGGCCGAUAUCACAAGCAGUUGGAAGAGAGGAAGAGGAAGACAGCUUCCUUUCGAGGGCAGAAUCCCCUUUGUCUACCAGUCCGGAGUCCUGAACCUACAUUCCAGGAGCCUGGUGAUGGACCUAAUGGACACCUCAGACAUCACAUACUCAAACAAGCCGGCUUCAGCACACUUGAUAGCACCUUCUGGAUAUACCAAGAGUCCAGUGACUUCUACUGCUACCCUGGGACCUGGACCGCUGCAAUGCCCUCCAGCUAGUCUCUUCUUCUCCUCCACAAACCAAAGCCAGAGUGACCCUCUAAAAGUUUAAAAUGGAUGCCACCACCCUUGGCCACAGCGUCUCGUAACACUCAGAGCAAAUCAAAGCUCUUUCUGCAAUCUGAGUCUCUACUUUACCGGUCUCUCCUCACACCCCUUUACCCGGGGCCUUCGGUGCUCCCACUGCGUGGGCCUCUCUAUUACUCUCACACCCUAUCUGGGUUCGGGGCUUCUGCCCUGCUGUUGGUACUGUCCAGUGCACCCUCUGCCCUGUCACGUGACUCACGUCCCGCUCUUUCACUUUGUUUAGGCAGCGUCUUAGAGCGAGGUCUUUGAAAAGACAGUCCGCCCCAUCAUGUGCAGAUCCCCUCCCCAUUGUGUGCAGAUCCCCUCCCCUGUUCUAUUUUGCCUCACAGCUCUUAUUGGCACUGACAUUGUUUGUCCGAGAGUCAUUAUUUCACUUUCACUUUGAAGGACCAUUUCAUGGGACGCAGAAUUCUAGGUAUCUCAUGUCAAUGCUUCAAGUACUCGCUAUCCUCUAUCAUCUGCUGUAAUCCUUAUUUUUGUUCCUCUGAGUCAAGUGAUUGCGCUUUUUGGCAUCAUUCAUGAUUUCUUCUUUGUCUUGACUUUCCGCAGCCUCAAUACGGGAUGGGUUUUUGAAAGUAUAUUACCAAUUUAUUUGCUUUCUUGUUUACUGUCUCUGUCAUGCGACUAGAUUCAUAAGGACGGGAACUUUGUCUCUCUGCUUCCCACUGGCAGGAACAUUCUUGGAAGCUAACAACACGUAAUAAUACUUUUACAUAAUCAUAAAUUCUCAAAUCUA